rnacentral:rRNA from 1 species
GGGGGGGGGGGGGGGGGGGGGGGGGGGGGGGGGGGGGGGGGGGGGGGGGGGGGGGGUGCUGGUUGGCUGGCGGGUGGCGGGCGGGGGGGGAGUGUCUGGGGGGCUGCCUGAUGGGGGGGGAGGACUACUGGAGACGGUGGCUAAUAGCGCCUAACGUCGCAAGACCCAAGAGGGAGACCUUAGGGCCUCUUGCCAUCGGGUGUGCCCAGAUGGGACUAGCUAGUAGGUGGGGUAACGGCUCACCUAGGCGCCGAUCCCUAGCUGGUCUGAGAGGAUGACCAGCCACACGGGAACUGAGACACGGUCCAGACUCCACCGGGAGGCAGCAGUGGGGAAUAUUGCACAAUGGGCGCAAGCCUGAAGCAGCCAUGCCGCGUGUAUGAAGAAGGCCUUCGGGUUGUAAAGUACUUUCAGCGGGGAGGAAGGGAGUAAAGUUAAUACCUUGGCUCAUUGAAGUUACCCGCAGAAGAAGCACCGGCUAACUCCGUG